AUUUUAAAAGCGAGCUUAUCUGGAGGUGGAACCAAAGACAUGCGUCAUGUGAUUCCGCUCGGACCUUUAAUUGUGCAGUACGGUUAGGAAAAUGUGUAAACAAGAUGUCUGAAGAACAUUUUACACUGGACGGCCUCUGGUCUUGUUUCCCCUCAAAUAAUCGGCGUUGUGACGCUUCGUAAUUGUAAAACUUUUUUGGAAUGUACAUAUUUGUAACAAAGAUGGCGGCAGAGACUCAUAGCGACAGUCACAGUGACGACGGCAUGAUGGACGAGUUCUUCAUGGACAAAUUCAAGACGCAGAGAAACGCCUUCAGUCUGAGUAAAAAUUUAGCAUAUCAGCAAUUGAAACUUGGUCUUUGACAUUAAAACUGACGCCGUUUCUGGUGAUGAGGCUAACUUCGUAAUUUUUAAUGUUUAUUUAAUUUAUCCUCUCAAAGGAUAACAUAUGCAUGAUGUUAAAAUGUUUAUUUUGUGACAUGCAGGGAACAUGCGCUUUGCACUGAAUGACGCUGCAGCUGCAAAAAAAAUCAAGCCAGGCCACCUUAAAGCCUUGAUCAGAUGUGCUCAGUGCUGCAUUGAGCUGCACAACUUUUCAGAGGCUCUCCAGUGGUGUGACGAGGGGCUAAAGGAACAUACCAACGAUGGGAAGCUCAGAGAGCUGAGAGUCUAAAAAGCCUCACCUUAUAGGUUCAGAAAGUGAGGAUGACAAGGAUCAAUCUUCAGCAGCCAUGGAGCAGCUGAGGUUGGACGGCCUCAGUUCUCAGGAAGUCACUGGGGCUCAGGUCUUCCAGGAUGAGAAGUGCUUGUUGCACUGGCCUGUUCUUUUCCUCUACCCUGAGCAUCAGCAGAGCGAUUUCAUCUCUGCUUUCUGUGAGAAUGACUGGUAAAGUAUCUUUUUUCAAAGGUUUUGGCUUCCUUUUUUAGGUGUCAUCCUGCUUAAUAACUAUUAAAAUCACUAUGUUGG